CUAGCACCCACCAACAUAAAACCUGUGCAGUGUCCUGAAUCCCCUGUUGUCAAUUUCCUCCACUCAUUAGAGUGAGCAAAAAUGUGGCUAAACAUUGUGUUUUUACUAGUAGUCCUCCAAGGAGUCCAGUCUCAAAUCCAGUUGGUGGAGUCUGGAGGGGAUGUGAGAAGCCCUGGAGGGUCCCUCCGUCUCACCUGCCAAGGUUCUGGAUUCACCUUCAGCAGCUAUGGCAUGCACUGGGUGAGACAGGCUCCAGGAAAAGGACUGGAAUGGAUUGCAGUUAUUUGGUAUGAUGCCAGUAAGCAAUUCUAUGCAGAAUCUGUCAAGGGACGCUUCACCAUCUCCAGGGACAAUGCCAAAAGCCAGCUGUAUCUGCAGAUGAACAGCCUCAAAGCUGAAGACACGGCAGUCUAUUACUGUGCUAGAGGCACAGUGAGAGGAAGUGAAUCUGAAGCCUACCAAGAACUUUCUCACCCUCUCAGCAGUUCUCCAAAUUGA